rnacentral:tRNA from 2 species
UGGGGUGUGGUGUAAUUGGCAACACGAGAGUUUCUGGUUCUCUUAUUCAAGGUUCGAUUCCUUGCACCCCAACCA